GGAUAUGUGUCUGAGUGGUUUAAAGUGUAACCUUUGAGUCGUUAUGAGGAAUUAUCCUCCGUAAGUUCGAAUCUUACCGUAUCCG
rnacentral:tRNA from 1 species